rnacentral:rRNA from 1 species
GACGAACGCUGGCGGCGUGCUUAACACAUGCAAGUCGAACGGAAAGGCCCUGCUUUUGUGGGGUGCUCGAGUGGCGAACGGGUGAGUAACACGUGAGUAACCUGCCCUUGACUUUGGGAUAACUUCAGGAAACUGGGGCUAAUACCGGAUAGGAGCUCCUGCUGCAUGGUGGGGGUUGGAAAGUUUCGGCGGUUGGGGAUGGACUCGCGGCUUAUCAGCUUGUUGGUGGGGUAGUGGCUUACCAAGGCUUUGACGGGUAGCCGGCCUGAGCGGGUGACCGGCCACAUUGGGACUGAGAUACGGCCCCGACUCCUACGGGAGGCAGCAGUGGGGAAUAUUGCACAAUGGGCGGAAGCCUGAUGCAGCAACGCCGCGUGCGGGAUGACGGCCUUCGGGUUGUAAACCGCUUUCGCCUGUGACGAAGCGUGAGUGACGGUAAUGGGUAAAGAAGCACCGGCUAACUACGUG